AAAUAAGAAGCAAAAUUUUGCAUUUAGUUUCGACCUAAAAAUUUGAUUUUAUUAUCCUUAUUUA
rnacentral:tRNA from 1 species